rnacentral:rRNA from 1 species
UGGGGAAUUUUGGACAAUGGGCGAAAGCCUGAUCCAGCAAUGCCGCGUGUGUGAAGAAGGCCUUCGGGUUGUAAAGCACUUUUGUCCGGAAAGAAAUCCUUGGCUCUAAUACAGUCGGGGGAUGACGGUACCGGAAGAAUAAGCACCGGCUAACUACGUGCCAGCAGCCGCGGUAAUACGUAGGGUGCAAGCGUUAAUCGGAAUUACUGGGCGUAAAGCGUGCGCAGGCGGUUUGCUAAGACCGAUGUGAAAUCCCCGGGCUCAACCUGGGAACUGCAUUGGUGACUGGCAGGCUAGAGUAUGGCAGAGGGGGGUAGAAUUCCACGUGUAGCAGUGAAAUGCGUAGAGAUGUGGAGGAAUACCGAUGGCGAAGGCAGCCCCCUGGGCCAAUACUGACGCUCAUGCACGAAAGCGUGGGGAGCAAACAGGAUUAGAUACCCUGGUAGUCCACGCCCAUAAACGAUGUCAACUAGUUGUUGGGGACUUCAUUUCCUUAGUAACGUAGCUAACGCGUGAAGUUGACCGCCUGGGGAGUACGGUCGCAAGAUUAAAACUU